rnacentral:lncRNA from 1 species
CCUGGCAGAAUUUCAGAGGUGACACAAAUCUCACUUAGCACUGCAGGUCACCAAACAAACUGGAAUUAAUAAGGACGGAACUGUGGCUUAAGUUACACCCUGUAAAGAACUUUCCUAACUGCCGCACGGACAGGGUGAAGAGGAAGAAAGGAAUGGCUGUGCCGAGGAAACCAUAACUCUGUGCGCAGCCUGAGGUGUUCUUUGACUGAGGACAUUUUUAACACCAUAUGUUUUCCCUGUACCUUUCCUGUGAGCUGGUGCAAUUUCCUAAAUUAAUUGAUAUUUUUGUCCAUAAGGUCUGGAUUUGAACUCUCCAGAAGAUGAAGUGUCCUUCCAUCUCUACUUCUUCUUCUUCCCCGUGAAAGUCAAGCUGUGAGCAUGUGAGGGAGCAGUGCAUCUCAAUUGCAUCCUGCCAUCAUCCUGAUAAAUCCAGCAGCAUGUGGCAGGGCACAGUGGGGCCAGGAGAUGGCUGUAAAUGGGCACUGCUUGGCUCCUGCUGCUGCAGAGGAGGGCCAGAGGAUACCAGCUCAGUGGGACAAUCAGCUGUGAACAGAGGUGAGCCUCUGCAGC